GACGAACGCUGGCGGCGUGCUUAACACAUGCAAGUCGAACGGAAAGGCCUCUUUCGGGGGGUACUCGAGUGGCGAACGGGUGAGUAACACGUGAGUAACCUGCCCUUGACUUUGGGAUAACUUCAGGAAACUGGGGCUAAUACCGGAUAGGAGCUCCUGCUGCAUGGUGGGGGUUGGAAAGUUUCGGCGGUUGGGGAUGGACUCGCGGCUUAUCAGCUUGUUGGUGGGGUAGUGGCUUACCAAGGCUUUGACGGGUAGCCGGCCUGAGAGGGUGACCGGCCACAUUGGGACUGAGAUACGGCCCAGACUCCUACGGGAGGCAGCAGUGGGGAAUAUUGCACAAUGGGUGGAAGCCUGAUGCAGCAACGCCGUGUGCGGGAUGACGGCCUUCGGGUUGUAAACCGCUUUCGCUCAUGACGAAGCUUUGUGUGACGGUAGUGGGUAAAGAAGCACCGGCUAACCACGUG
rnacentral:rRNA from 1 species